UACGUAGGGGGCAAGCGUUGUCCGGAAUCAUUGGGCGUAAAGCGCGUGUAGGCGGCCAGAUAAGUCCGUUCUGAAAGCCCGGGGCUCAACCCCGGGAGGCGGAUGGAUACUGUUUGGCUCGAGUCCGGAAGAGGCGAGUGGAAUUCCCGGUGUAGCGGUGAAAUGCGCAGAUAUCAGGAAGAACACCCGUGGCGAAGGCGGCUCUCUGGGACGGUACUGACGCUGAGACGCGAAAGCGUGGGGAGCGAACAGG
rnacentral:rRNA from 1 species